rnacentral:rRNA from 1 species
UACGGAAGAUGCGAGCGUUAUCCGGAUUUAUUGGGUUUAAAGGGAGCGUAGGCGGGCUUUUAAGUCAGCGGUCAAAUGUCGUGGCUCAACCAUGGCCAGCCGUUGAAACUGUAAGCCUUGAGUCUGCACAGGGCACAUGGAAUUCGUGGUGUAGCGGUGAAAUGCUUAGAUAUCACGAAGAACUCCGAUCGCGAAGGCAUUGUGCCGGGGCAGCACUGACGCUGAGGCUCGAAAGUGCGGGUAUCAAACAGG